rnacentral:rRNA from 1 species
AUUGAACGCUGGCGGCAGGCCUAACACAUGCAAGUCGAGCGAGAGGCGGACGGGUGAGUAAUGUCUGGGAAACUGCCCGCUGUAGGGGGAGAACUACUGGAAACGGUAGCUAAUACCGCAUACCAUCAUAUAUCCCCAGAUGGGGUUAGCUAGUAGGUGGGGUAACGGCUCACCUAGGCGACGAUCCCUAGCUGGUCUGAGAGGAGGACCAGCCACACUGGGACUGAGACACGGUCCAGACUCCUACGGGAGGCAGCAGUGGGGAAUUUUGCACAAUGGGGGAAAGCCUGAUGCAGCCAUGCCGCGUGUGUGAAGAAGGCCUUCGGGUUGUAAAGCACUUUCGGCGGAGAAGCGUUACCCGCAGAAGAAGCACCGGCUAACUCCGUGCCAGCAGCCGCGGUAAUUC